rnacentral:rRNA from 1 species
UUGGAGGGCAAGUCUGGUGCCAGCAGCCGCGGUAAUUCCAGCUCCAAUAGCGUAUAUUAAAGUUGUUGCAGUUAAAAAGCUCGUAGUUGAAUUUCGGGAUCAAUGUUUCGGUCAUGCCGUUGGUAUGUACUGAUAUUAUUGAUUUCUCACCUUCUAAAGAACCGUAAUGCCAUUAAUUUGGUGUCACGGGGAAUUAGGACUGUUACCUUGAAAAAAUUAGAGUGUUUAAAGCAGGCUCACGCUUGAAUACAUUAGCAUGGAAUAAUGAAAUAGGACAUCCGAUUCUAUUUUGUUGGUUUCUAGGAUCGAUGUAAUGAUUAAUAGGGAUAGUUGGGGGCAUUAGUAUUCAAUUGUCAGAGGUGAAAUUCUUGGAUUUAUUGAAGACUAACUACUGCGAAAGCAUUUGCCAAGGAUGUUUUCAUUAAUCAAGAACGAAAGUUAGGGGAUCGAAGACGAUCAGAUACCGUCGUAGUCUUAACCAUAAACUAUGCCGACUAGGGAUCGGAUGAUGUUAAUUUUUUAAUGACUCAUUCGGCGCCUUAUGGGAAACCAAAG